CACACAUCGUUCUCUGGGCAAAAGUUAUUUGAGAAAAUGUAAGAAAUACCACAAAAAAACAUUAGCUACCAAUGUAGCUAGACUGGAGGACAGUUAAUGAGUGGUAUGUUUCUGCCGUUGGGUCAGUGCAGAAUGCGGACAGUUCAUGUGGUUACACACUUGCCAGGUUGAUAACAGUUCAAGUCGGUCAGUUCAACCGGGAAAUUCCGAUCUCCGACGAUAAAUGUAACGCAACAUCGUAGUGAGCGGAACGCUGAUUUCAUGCGACUUAAGCUUACGCAGCCACUGUUUACAACGCGUCUCUCUGCGGAGUCUGGCCGCAUUUUAGUUCGCUUCCCUGAAGAUACAUACCCCCCCACCGGUGAUGCAUAAGAGCGGGGACAUUCAUUUUUCUUAUGACACUGGAGCUUCCUCAGAUGAGCUCUUCUGGGACAGCCAACGGCGGCCAUUUUGUAACAGCCAACGGCGGCCAUUUUGGAGAAGCCGGCACAGGCCCUGCAGGGCAGCUGAAGGAAGGCUAAGCUAGAAGAGCAUGUCGGAUGGAUAGAUCAUCAUCAAACACCACCGAUGUGUAGCACCCACCUUCCAAUUGAAUCAGGGGAUGAUUAGGUGGCAGGUUGAACCAGGUUUUUCGGA